rnacentral:rRNA from 1 species
ACGCUCGACACCUACGGGGGCAGCAGUGAGGAAUAUUGGUCAAUGGGCGCUAGCCUGAACCAGCCAAGUAGCGUGAAGGAUGAAGGCUCUAUGGGUCGUAAACUUCUUUUAUAUAAGAAUAAAGUGCAGUAUGUAUACUGUUUUGUAUGUAUUAUAUGAAUAAGGAUCGGCUAACUCCGUGCCUGCAGCCGCGGUAAUCUGAGCGGGCUGGCAAGGC